rnacentral:lncRNA from 1 species
CUAAUAAUCGUCUUAAACUAAUCUUUCAUCAUUUCACCAUAUAGCUAGGCUUUCCCUUUUACUACCGCCAAUUAUGUAACUGUGACAUUUAACAUUUGGCAUUAGGGUGAAGAAAUCUGUAACUAAGAAACAGCUAGCUGUUUUCACCUGUACACUCGUGCUAAGUUUAUUUAUUUGGCCAUUGAGAUCUGACAAAUGAAUCCCAUUUUGCAUAGUACCAGCCGAUAAUCCUGGCAAAAUAUUUUCUAUUCAAUUUAAAUCUCCCUUCAGGACUGCCUCCCUCUCGGUCAAAUCCUUUUGAUCACCCUGUUCUCCUUGUAGGAAAGACGAGAGCGAGCCUACAUAGAUCUCUUGACAUAACGUGAAAAGAAUAUUGACCCUGACCCCUUCUUUUUUUCCUACCUAGAUCUUAUGUGCUUCGGUAGCUAUCCGCAUUCUGAUCCCGGUAUCCUCUUCUAUUUAAUCAGUUCUGACGCCGUUGUUUACAAUCGACUCCCAGAUGAUAAAAAUGCUUACUUUGACUUGCUGACUGAACUUACUUUACCACUUAUAUCGAUAAACAGCAUCCCGUUUGGAAUGGAGAAACUUUGGAUGUCGGUCGAGUUACGGAUUUCUUUCCUCCCAUAAUUUUCAAAAUGUCCUCGUGUACGCCCAUGUGAAUGUGGGUGUAUUCACGAGGACACCCUUUACCCUAUCCUGUCUGGUGUAAUUUAAUUCUUCAGCGGAUGGAUGGAGCAACUGUAGAUGCCUGGCUGCAUUUCCCAGGUGCCAAGGACAUAAAUGAAGCGUUGACGUCACUUGGAGCUGCAUUUAUUUGAAAAUUGGGAGGGAUAUUUCCUGCCUGUCAGUUCCUUGUUUAAAGUUUCAUAGUGUCAGUGAUAUGAGUCGGUUCAUGUUUACUGAUAUAGUUUAUGGUGUUUCAGAUUCAACAGGGUCAGGUUAUGGGAGUCGGUAUGACGUUAUUGGGGCACUAGGAUCUAGGAUGUUUGCUUGUGUAUGAGAUGGGCCUGUAUCAUUCCUUGUUGGACAAAUUAAUUGUGAGUGCCUUGGAUAUGACCAAAUGCCAAUGCUGACUGGUGAUGAUGGCUCUUUUUCGACUUUUUGGCUGACAUUUUUCUUUUUGGUGUGAAAUGCUUGGAGCGGAUGGAGCCCUGGCUGUUCUGUGAAUCAGCUCAACUGAUGGUUUGAUUCUACAUAAAACAGAAUAAGCAUUUCAAACUUAAUUUCAAACUUAAUUUCAAACUUAAUUUCAAACUUAAUUUCAAACUUAAUUUCAAACUUAAUAACGAAAUCACGGUAAUUGGUAAAAUCUGACAUGAUAAGUGGCCUAGUGUAAUAUUUGUGAGUAAUCGUUUGUCUAGAAUAAAACACAUCGCGUCAGUAUUGCAAUGUACAAACUGUUAUUAAGUUUUAAUUUUUAUUGAGACAUGCUCUUCGACUUGUCUCCUCAGUAGAUUUUUCAAAUGCUUAGUCAUCUUAAUUACAAAUUGUUGACAUUUUCAUUCUGUUUUCAGGCCCCCGCCGCAAUUCCAUGGUGGUAGCGAGAGAUUGCUGAAAUUCAACACUAUUAAUACAUGAUGUAGUUAGAUAAAUUACAAGUGCGCAUAUCUAGAUUAGAUGUAUGCUUACAUCUAUCUCUAUGUUCAAGAGACAAUUUCAAGUGUAUAGUAUAUACUGUACACUCUUCACUGAUAACUGUUUAAUUAAUCUUUUAGAUCAUAGACGUCAACCUCAUUGAUGACACAAAUUAUAAACAAGGUGACUUAAUUUUUGUUUCAUUUACAGGUACUAAAUUGGAAUGACAAACUUUAUGAGAAGUCUUGUCCUUUCAAGAAAAAGGACAUCAGAACAUUUGGAUACCCAACCUUCAACUUUUGGUUGCAGUUCAGGACUGAGACUAACAAGUCCAGCAAAAUCAUCGCUUAACAGCUGACCCUGACGGUGCCAAGCAAACACCAUAAGCCGAAGAUAAAGACAACGUAAAAGUUCCCAAGUCUAAGGAUGUCUGUCGUGGCAAACUGAUUGCGUAGCAACUGGAGAAAGUGUUUGUCGAGCAAACGAACUGUGAUGUCGAACUCUUGUUCGAAGACGAGGAGGUAAUCGAAGGCCAUAUUUCCAUCUUGGUUGCCAGAAGUCCCGUUUUCUCUGCCAUGUUUUACCACAACCUUCAAAAAUCCAUGACGUGCAAAGUCUUCGUCCAAGACAUCCGGCCACAGAUUUUCAAAGAGAUGCUACAGUACAUUUACUCCGGCCAGACUAUGGCUCCUUUGACGGACGCCAUCGCUCAACCUCUGUUCGUACUUUCAGUCAAAUACGAUAUCGAGGACCUUAAAGAAAAGUGUGUCCAUUAUCUACUGAAAAGCAUCCGGACGAGUAAUGCAGUUGACUUGUUGGUCUGGGCAAAUCUUCAUUCGAUGGAUAAAAUCCAAGAAUCAACUCUUGACUUUGUGGCCAUA